AACGAACGCUGGCGGCAUGCCUAACACAUGCAAGUCGAACGAGAUCUUCGGGUCUAGUGGCGCACGGGUGCGUAACGCGUGGGAAUCUGCCCUUUGGUUCGGAAUAACAGUUGGAAAUGACUGCUAAUACCGGAUAAUGUCGCAAGACCAAAGAUUUAUCGGCAAAGGAUGAGCCCGCGUAAGAUUAGGUAGUUGGUGGGGUAAUGGCCUACCAAGCCGACGAUCCUUAGCUGGUCUGAGAGGAUGAUCAGCCACACUGGGACUGAGACACGGCCCAGACUCCUACGGGAGGCAGCAGUAGGGAAUAUUGGACAAUGGGCGAAAGCCUGAUCCAGCAAUGCCGCGUGAGUGAUGAAGGCCUUAGGGUUGUAAAGCUCUUUUACCAGGGAUGAUAAUGACAGUACCUGGAGAAUAAGCUCCGGCUAACUCCGUGCCAGCCGCCGCCGUAAGAC
rnacentral:rRNA from 1 species